rnacentral:rRNA from 1 species
UACGUAGGGCGCAAGCGUUGUCCGGAAUUAUUGGGCGUAAAGAGCUCGUAGGCGGCCUGUUGCGUCCGCUGUGAAAUCCCGGGGCUCAACCCCGGGCCUGCAGUGGAUACGGGCUGGCUAGAGGCAGGCAGGGGAGAACGGAAUUCCUGGUGUAGCGGUGAAAUGCGCAGAUAUCAGGAGGAACACCCGUGGCGAAGGCGGCUCUCUGGAACGCAACUGACGCUGAGACGCGAAAGCGUGGGGAGCAAACAGG